rnacentral:lncRNA from 1 species
ACAAGUUUUGGUAACAAGGAGAACAUCAAGCCUGCUAACAAAAAACAGCCUUCUCACCCCAAACAGACCAAAGGCAGGAUUUAUCUCAAUAUAAUUUCAGUCAAAUUCAUAUAUUCACUGCUUGAUAUUGGAUGUUACAUUUUAAAAUCAGCGUCUGUUCUUUCUCACUUGUUUAAAAAUGCCAUUGAAGAUGUUUCAUAUUGUCGUCUUAUUUCCAGAAGAGAGUUUUGGCCUCAGUUUACCUCUUGGAGAGGAAUAUGAAAGAAAAAAGACAGAAGUUAAAGCAAGAACUACGGCUUGAUUACCGACACUUUAUGUCUGAGAAAAAAAAUCUAAUUAUUGCUGAUCCACUUCCACAGUCCCACAUGCUGUCUCUCCCCAUAAAAGAACGGAGAUCAGCGAAGGAAAAGCUGCAGGAUGAGAGGAACAAGGAAUAUAAUAUGUUUCUCCGAGGGCAAGAGGGAGCACAGAAAAUAGGGAAAACUUCAACUACCCCACAGGCCCUGGAGAGAGAUCGUUUUGGCUCAAUUACUCCAAAGUACCCUGCUGGUUCUCUAGAGGUACAAACGCAAAAGUCCAGUCAGAACCCCGAGAACACCGUGUUCUCAAAAAGGGAUGUUGCCACUCUGACUGAGCCCAUUUCCGGAGUGGCUAAGGUAUCAAGGCCACGGAGACACUGGGGAGAGACGCCGGAUCGCUGGGGAGGCCCUCACAGAGAUCACACCAGUUCUGAUGAGGAGAUAGAGCUCCUAGAGAAAGAGAGGCACACAAAUGUACAGGAAGACACGGGCAAAACCAGGAGAGGAGGAAAAUAUGACAACAGCUCUCACAGGUGCAUCUUACAUGUUCUCUCUAUUGCGUCCUGUUUAUUUUGCUGGCACUCUGAAGCUGAUAUGGUUAUAUUUGAGGAAACAUAAUAAGAAUAAUAUUCUCUUGAGGGACUUCCGGUUAUAAUUAGGCCCAUAUGGAACUCUGAUGAAAACUCCACGGAUUGGCAUGGAUUUUGAGCACGUCAUUUACAAAAUGAUAUAUCUAUUCUGCCCCAUGCAUGUUCAUUGAUUAGAUUUUCUGUAUUAUAAUUGCAUUUUGAAAACGUUUUAAUGUUGCUUACAUAUAGUAAAUUAUUUUUGGUUAAUUUAAUAAUGACAUUUUACACCCAUUGCCAACACAUUUUAUCGUAAAUAAGUGCACGCUGCAGAUUUUACCACAUUCAAAUGUAGGAAAAAGUACAGAUUUAUCACAAAUUAGUCUGCAAAACUUAAUUCUGAUUUAUCAUUAGUGUCAUUGUGUGGUCAGAUAUUUUUAAACUAUGGCUAAUAAACAUGAUGAUAAAUAACUCUCACAUUAUAAAUAAUUCAAAAUACAUUAAAAACACCAGUAUUGUAAAAUAUUAUAUACAAAAAGUCAAAUUAUCAGCAGCCAUUACUCCAGUGUCACAUGAUCCUUUAUAAAUAAAUACAUACACACGAAAUGUGAAUAUGAGACAAGAGAUCAACAUUUCAGCUUUUAUUUACAGGUAUUUUCAUCUGGAUCUGACGCACAACUUAUUACGUACUAUUUCAGUCUUUCUACUUCAAAAUUUCAUUUUUACACUGUAUAUAAAGACCUGCGACUUUACCUACGCGACUUCACCGAGCAACAAAACCGCCAACGCACUUAAGUAUUAUUUUUAUCUUCCCUUUGCACUCUCCUUUCCUGUCCUUUCUUUUCCACAUCUAUCAUGUGUUUUCAAACCAUUCUAACUGUAUCUCGACAAUGCUUUAACGUCACAUGGAGACGGUAACGCAAUCUUGCUAACCUGCAUCCGAUCUCUACAUCCUCUACUGCACCUCUUUCUUUCUCUGUGGGUCUCUGGAAUUGUCAGCCAGCUGUCAACAAAGCAGACUUCAUUCUGCUUUUUCUUUACAAUCCACACUCAGCAUCUUGGGCUUGAAUAAACAGAAUAAACUCGCCUCUUUAAAUUCUCGAUCUCAUUACAGCAGGAAGGAUUCUGAUUGGCUGUCAAUAUUUUUAUUGUUAAUCAGCUGGAAAAAAUCAUUCUAAAAGUGAUUCCACCGAUGUAAUUUCUAUUGUCUCUUUAUCCUUAUAGGUGUGGUGUGGACUCUGCUAAUCUUUAAUAUUGAGAAUGAUUUUUAGAACUAUAUCUUUAUCGUUAUCUUUACCUUUAUAGUUAUCAUCCUUGGUGUGAACGGGCCUUAAGAUUUAAAAUUUAGUUGAAAAUCCUUUGCUUGCAAUAACUGCAUCAAGUCUGUGACCCACUGACAUUCCCAAACUUUUGCAUUCUUCUUUUGUGAUGCUUUUCCAGGCUUUCAUCACAGCCUCUUUCAGUUUUGGGGGGUUACUCCCUUCAGUCUCUUCUUUAGCAGGUAAAAUGCAUACUUUAUAGUGUUUAAGUCUGGAGAUUGACUUGGCCAGUCUUAAACCUUCCACUUUUUGUCCCUGAUGAACUCUUUUGUUGCUUUGGCACUAUGUUUUGGGUCAUUAUCUUGCUGCUUGAUGAAGGGUCUCCCAGUUAGUUUGGUUGCAUCUUUUUUGUAAAUUGGCAGACAAAAUAUUUCAGUUAAUUUUGCUGCUGCCGUUGUGUUACAUCAUCAGUUAAGAUUAAUGAGCCUGUCCCAGAAGAAGCGAUGAAAGCCCAAGCCAUGACACUACCUCCACUGUGUUUCAGUUUAGCUAUGUUUUUUCCUCCAAACUUUAGCCUUUCCAUCACUUUUGUAAAGGCUAAUCUUUGUCUCAUCAGUCCAUAAACUUUGUCCCAGAAUAUGUGAGGCUUAUCUCCUAUUCUUUGGUUUGCAUCUUCUGGUGUACCCUCUGUUCUUUUGUUCAUGAAGUCUUCUACGAACAGUAGAUUGUGAUACCUUCACUCCUGCCCUCUGGAGGUUGUUGCUGAUGUCGCUAACAGUUGUUUUAGGGUCUUACUUUACAGCUGUCACAAUGUUUCUGUCAUCAACCGCUAAUGUUUUACUUGGUCUACCUGUUUGAGGUCUGUUACUUAGUACACCAGUGGUUUCUUUCUUCCUCAGGACAUUCCAAAUGGUUGUACUGGCUAUGGCCAGUGUUUGUGCAAUGGCUCUGAUUGAUUUUCCAUCUUCUCUCAGCUUCACCAUUCCUUUUUCACCCAUAGACAGCUCUCUGGUUUUCAUGUUGGUUACACAUCGAACUAUAAAUGCGGUCUGCACAGGCAAAAUCCAAAUCUGAAACUGAGCGCAGACAUUCAGUUGCUAUUUAUUGUUUGAAUAAUUAAUAUAAUAGGACACACCGGUUUGAGAGUAAAGGGCUUUAGGUAUUACUUUCAUAUGCAUUAAUGAUUAUCCAUCACUCACCUGGUUAUUCACUAGUUCACCUCAGUACACUGUGAAAAAGUGUCUCAGAAAUUGCCAGUCAAUUUCAAAAAUAAAUAGAAAGAAACAUCAGGUGACACAUUAAAAAUGUGAAAUAUUAGUAUAUACAAUAUGCACUCCCCUACAAAAGUAUUGGAACAAAAGUGGGUUCAAACAAAAGGUGCUAUCUUCUAAGUUGUGUUUAUCAGAUCCAGAUGUGAAUAACUGGAAAUAAAAGCUGAAAUGUUGAUCUCUUGUCUCAUAUUCAUCUUUUGAUGUCAAACCCAAAUGUUUUCAGUCUACAGCAAAAAUAAAGGAAUUGGCCUCAGUGUUCCAAUACUUUUGGAGGUGUAUGUGUGUGUGUGUAUUAGCAGAACUUCAACCCCAAAACUUCAAAAUUUGUGAUAUAACUACAAAAUAAUUACAAAACAUAUUUAGUAAAAAGUAAAAAAAAAAAAAAAAAAAAAAAAUUAACAUAAUAAUAAGAAGUACAAUAGAAGAGACAAUAGUUUAUUAGAAUAUAUAUUAUUAGAUUUUUUUUUUAUUUUGAAUAAAUGCAGUUCUUUUUAACCUUUUAUUCCAUCAAAUAUAUAGACAGCAGAACUGUUCCAACACUCAUAAUAAAUCAGAAUAUUAGAAUGAUUUCUAAAUGAUCAUGUGAUAGACUGGAUGUUACAUGUGACACUGAAGGCUGGAGUAAUGAUGCUGAAAAUUCAGCUUUGCAUCACAGGAAUAAAUUAUUUUUAAAGUAUAUUCA